UGGCGGUGUCCAUGACAAGGAGGGAGUAGUUCACUCUCGGGGCUGAGGGUAUGUACCAUUAGCUAUGUGUUGGCUCUCUCUCUCUCUCUCAUAUUCUUGAGAUGUCACAAUCUUGAUGUAUCCCGGGCUUUGUUAAUAUAGUUGGAUCAUAUGUUGUUCUUCCCAUGCCAUCUUGUUGUGAUGAAUUGAAUCUUUCCCUUUGAGAUCUCUUUAUGUUGGAUUGAAUAUUUUGG
rnacentral:lncRNA from 1 species